GAGUUUGAUCGUGGCUCAGAUUGAACGCUGGCGGCAUGCCUUACACAUGCAAGUCGAACGGCAGCACGGGAGCUUGCUCCUGGUGGCGAGUGGCGAACGGGUGAGUAAUGCAUCGGAACGUAUCCUGGAGUGGGGGAUAACGUAGCGAAAGUUACGCUAAUACCGCAUAUUCUGUGAGCAGGAAAGCGGGGGACCUUCGGGCCUCGCGCUCUUGGAGCGGCCGAUGUCGGAUUAGCUAGUUGGUGAGGUAAAGGCUCACCAAGGCGACGAUCCGUAGCAGGUCUGAGAGGAUGAUCUGCCACACUGGAACUGAGACACGGUCCAGACUCCUACGGGAGGCAGCAGUGGGGAAUUUUGGACAAUGGGGGCAACCCUGAUCCAGCCAUGCCGCGUGAGUGAAGAAGGCCUUC
rnacentral:rRNA from 3 species